rnacentral:rRNA from 1 species
UGGGGAAUUUUGCGCAAUGGGGGAAACCCUGACGCAGCAACGCCGCGUGAGUGAUGAAGGCCUUCGGGUCGUAAAGCUCUGUCAGGGGGGAAGAAAUGCAGUUGCGCUAAUAUCGCGAUUGCUUGACGGUACCCUCAAAGGAAGCACCGGCUAACUCCGUGCCAGCAGCCGCGGUAAUACGGAGGGUGCGAGCGUUGUUCGGAAUUAUUGGGCGUAAAGCGCGUGUAGGCGGUUUGGUAAGUCUGAUGUGAAAGCCCCGGGCUCAACCUGGGAAGUGCAUUGGAAACUGUCAGACUUGAAUACGGGAGAGGGUAGUGGAAUUCCUAGUGUAGGAGUGAAAUCCGUAGAUAUUAGGAGGAACACCGGUGGCGAAGGCGGCUACCUGGACCGAUAUUGACGCUGAGACGCGAAAGCGUGGGGAGCAAACA